CCCCACCGCAGCGGAGAGCAGCCAUGCAGGGACUUAGCUUCAGGCUACGCUGCAGGAGGUGGGCAGAGCUCUUCCACUCUUAAGUGGGUCCAAGAGCAUUUAGCAGCCCUGAAGAUUAGUGCCACUGACCUAAAUGCUUUGUGACAUCAAUGAAUCAGCCAUUGGCUUCGAGUUAGGGGAGCCGAAAAGGAGCGCAGGUGUUGCAUCACCUCCAGUGCCUUGGCGGUGGGUCACCAGAGAAUGGAUUGCUCAACUGUUACAGCAUUGGGACCUGCAUCUAAAAUAUUGCCAUUUAAUGUCCUUUAAGGGGUUUUACUGUUAUAUCAUGAAGGCAGAAGAUCCAGGGGGGGGUCACAGAGGAAAUAAUCAAUGGGGGUGGGAUUCAAGAUGUGCCAUGCCAGCAGCCAACAACACCCCUCUGGACCAGGCACCUCCUCGUCUACCAAAAACUGGAGCCCCCGUCAGUCAGCCUGGGCGGAGGAGGUGGCAGCACCAGAGAGGGGGAGGGGCUAAUGGACAUGGAAGUUUGGGUGAACAUACCAUAUGACUUACUGGCAACUUCAGACAAACUGCUGUGGGACUGAUUACCAUGGUGAUGGGGAAAGGCGCUACAAACAGCAUGCAAGCAGUGUUCAUUUUGUUGAUGCCAAGAAAGAUAUUAAAUUAAUGAAAACGAGAUGAUAAAAUUUAAUUUAUAACGGCAAAAACUAUUAUAAAAUGUACUUAUACUUUUGUAAACUAAUAAAAAUGGGAUGAAAAUUUCAGAAACUGAA